rnacentral:rRNA from 1 species
CACGUAGGGGGCGAGCGUUGUCCGGAAUUACUGGGCGUAAAGGGCGCGUAGGCGGCCCAAUAAGUCAGAUGUGAAAGUCCUGGGCUUAACCCAGGGAUUGCAUUUGAAACUGUUGGGCUUGAGGACAGGAGAGGAAAGCGGAAUUCCCAGUGUAGCGGUGAAAUGCGUAGAUAUUGGGAGGAACACCAGUGGCGAAGGCGGCUUUCUGGACUGUCCCUGACGCUGAGGCGCGAAAGCCAGGGGAGCGAAC